AGUGGCCCCUAUCACAUCUCAGCUGUUUCCACCGAGCAGCUAUGAACCAAAAAAGGAGCCCAGCUUGCCAGUCCUCCAUAAUAAUGACUGUUCUGUUCGAAGUAACUGAUCUGCAAUAUUUCAGAAAAUGUU